rnacentral:rRNA from 1 species
GACGAACCACACAAACGUUAUUCGGAAUCACUGGGCUUAAAGGGUGCGUAGGCGGCUUUGUAAGUCAGUGGUGAAAUAUGGCAGCUUAACUGUCAAGGUGCCAUUGAUACUGCAGAGCUUGAGUACAGAUGAGGUAGGCGGAAUUGACGGUGUAGCGGUGAAAUGCUUAGAUAUCGUCAAGAACACCUAUAGCGAAGGCAGCUUACUAAGCUGUAACUGACGCUGAGGCACGAAAGUGUGGGGAUCAAACAGG